AACGAACGCUGGCGGCAUGCCUAACACAUGCCAGUCGAACGAAGCCUUCGGGCUUAGUGGCGCACGGGUGCGGAACGCGUGGGAAUCUGCCCCUUGCUUCGGAAUAACAGUUAGAAAUGACUGCUAAUACCGGAUGAAGUCUUCGGACCAAAGAUUUAUCGGCAUGGGAUGAGCCCGAGUAGGAUUAGGUAGUUGGUGUGGUAAAGGCCUCCCAAGCCGACGAUCCUUAGCUGGUCUGAGAGAAUGAUCAGCCACACUGGGACUGAGACACGGCCCAGACUCCUACGGGAGGCAGCAGUGGGGAAUAUUGGACCAUGGACGCAAGUCUGAUCCAGCAAUGCCGCGUGAGUGAUGAAGGCCUUAGGGUUGUAAAGCUCUUUUAACAGGGAUGAUAAUGACAGUACCUGGAGAAUAAGCCCCGGCUAACUCCGUG
rnacentral:rRNA from 1 species